GAGAGUUCCCCAUCUCUCUCCUCCGCCUCUACAAAAAUUGGAGACCAGCCUUUUGGCCUUAUUUCGACACCGCCACCAUCAAGCGACGGCGCAUAAAGCAGGGAGAAAACCCCAGCCAACCCGUCGCUAGUUUCAGAUCUCCACUCUCUCUUAAUCAAAGCCAUCAGAUUCGCCUCACCAAAUUGAAAAGAGAUAGUCAUCUUCCAUUGUCCCUUUCUAGAAGAAAGAUGUAGGGAAGAGAGUGGCCUAAGAUUCGUCAUCUUCCAUUCAUCACGAGUAAGACUUUUCUUCAUCUAUUACUAAACUAGUUGUUAAAUUGGGUCAUUUGAUUCUUCUCUUUUAAUUUUGGUUAAUCUAUCUAUUAGUUUGAAAAGGCAAACUGAACUAAAAAGUUUUUGUUGCUGCGAAAAUCCCUAUUUCUUGUUUUAAUCUAGCACUGACCAAACUUCUUUUCUAUUAGUUAGUUGGAAAUAUUGAAAUCGAGAAUUGACCAACACAGAGUACAAUAAGUUUCUUGAAGUGCCGACAUCGAGACAAAUAAGAGAGAUAGAAGUUCCUCUAUGAUAGUCUACCUAACUGAUUCGUGGGGUGCGAGCUUCAGCUGUGGAAUCCUAAGGCUCCUCUAAAUCGCAUGGAGAAAGCUUGCAACCAAGGCCAGUUGCAACUCAAAUGGGCAUAUUGAAUGCAAAUGGGAUAAGUUGGGAUUUGAGAUUAGAUUCAGCAACUCACAUACUUGCUAUUGUGAUACUAUGCUGGCAUGAUGUAGAAGCUAUCUAGGCUACAAUGGAGUUUGGUGAAUUCUAGUUACGUAUGUAAGUGAAAUGGCUGAAUAUUCCAAGUGAGGUGGUGGGUGCUUGUUGUCUUAUUUACAUUACAAGCUCUCAAGAUGAUCGAAUACUUGCUGUGGUUUUUUAUGUUAUAGUACUGGGAGUGAAAACUUGGUGUGCAAUGCAACUUUGGGAGUAGAGAAGAAAAACUCUGGACAUCUCAACUUGACAGAAUGCUAAAGAAGCAGAGAAUGAGAAAAUACCAUUGAUCAGGUCUGCUACUGGAAGCUGUGUAGAUGUAGAACCAGUUCCUGCUACAAAUCCAUCUCGAAUCCUCCCUGCAUUGCCUCAAGCUUCAAUUAGUUGUGGUUAAACUGUACCAUCAAUUCAUAAUGGAAUUUUCUGGAUGAAUACCGUGUUGAUGUUAUUGGAAUGAAUACUGC
rnacentral:lncRNA from 1 species